UACAGAGACUGCAAGCGUUAUUCGGAUUCACUGGGCGUAAAGGGUGCGCAGGCGGCCAAGUGUGUGAGGCGUGAAAGCCUGGGGCUUAACUCCAGAAUUGCACCUCAAACUACAUGGCUAGAGCAUUGGAGAGGGUAGCAGAAUCCACGGUGUAGCAGUGAAAUGCGUAGAUAUCGUGAGGAAUACCAGAGGCGAAGGCGGCUACCUGGACAAUUGCUGACGCUCAGGCACGAAAGCGUGGGGAGCAAAAGGG
rnacentral:rRNA from 1 species